rnacentral:rRNA from 1 species
GUGCCAGCAGCCGCGGUAAUACCGGCAGCCCGAGUGAUGGCCGAUCUUAUUGGGCCUAAAGCGUCCGUAGCUGGCUGCGCAAGUCCGUCGGGAAAUCCACUCGCCCAACGAGUGGGCGUCCGACGGAAACUGCACAGCUUGGGACCGGAAGGCUCGAGAGGUACGUCCGGGGUAGGAGUGAAAUCCCGUAAUCCCGAACGGACCACCGAUGGCGAAAGCACUUCGAGAAAACGGAUCCGACAGUGAGGGACGAAAGCCAGGGUCUCCAACCGGAUUAGAAACCCCAGUAGUCC